UAUUAGAGGCACUGCCUGCCCAGUGACUAAAGUUAAACGGCCGCGGUAUCCUGACCGUGCAAAGGUAGCAUAAUCACUUGUUCCUUAAUUAGGGACUAGAAUGAACGGCUAAACGAGGGUCCAACUGUCUCUUACUUUUAAUCAGUGAAAUUGACCUUCCAGUGAAGAGGCUGGAAUACUACAAUAAGACGAGAAGACCCUAUGGAGCUUUAAUUUACUAGUUUAAUUUAUAUAAUAAUAACCUAAUGGCUCAAAACAAAACAAAUAUAAACUAAAAAAUUUCGGUUGGGGUGACCUCGGAGAAUAAAAAAUCCUCCGAAUGAUUUUUAACCUAGACCCACAAGUCAAAGUAACUCCAGUAUCUCAUUGACCCAAUUAUUGAUCAACGGACCAAGUUACCCUAGGGAUAACAGCGCAAUCCUAUUCAAGAGUUCAUAUCGACAAUUAGGGUUUACGACCUCGAUGUUGGAUCAGGACAUCCCAAUGGUGCAGAAGCUAUUAAUGGUUCGUUUGUUCAACGAUUAAAGUCCUACGUGAUCUGAGU
rnacentral:rRNA from 1 species